CGUCAGUAGGAAGGAACUUGGUACUGUUGCAAAUACUUGAUAAAUGUGACCCUGAUCAAUUGAUUAGCAAUGUUAUGUAAUGAUUUGUGUGUCUCAGGUCAACCUCCCCAGUUGUUUCUCAGAUACCAGUUACUACUCUCCCAGUCAGACCACACAACUCCCAGGCUACUGCUAGCUGGAGCCACUCUGACAACAAGGCCACAAGGACAUUCAGUGAACCCCCCAUGAAAGCACCACCCUCCUUCCCAAAACAGACUGACACUAGCUUGCCCCCCCUGGGACAACGGUUUGAUUUCUUCUCAAAGACGACUACCCCAAACAAUGACACUGUGACUGGCAAAAGGCUCCAGGGAGAGGAUUACAGCAAGGAAGUGGAGGCAUUCAUGGGGAUAUUUGAUGGACUAUUUUAGUAGUGUUUGUAGUUGUAUGCACUAUUUCCAUGAUAAUGUUUCAUGGUGAUUUGUCAUGUUAUUGUGUAUGUAAUUUUGUUAUACUGUUAUUUAUACUGUUUGUUGUUUGGGAUUCACUGUUAGAUUUACUGUUGGUCCUAUUUGAAAAUGUUUAUCUAGGAGUAUGAACUUUCAAUCUUCUUUAGCAGGAUUCCAAAAAUGUAAUAUUUUGUGUACUUUAUUAAAUGAACACAAUAUUUAUUCAGAGGAAGUCUGAGGGUGUAGAGAGCAAUAGUAAUGGUGUCAUGGACCAUAUAAUGGUGUUUUAUUCCCUUUAGUGGACUGUCUUUAAAUUGCAGCUUGUAGCUGCACUUCCUGUGCUCACAAGGGGAGAAGACAGUAGGGGAUGUAACUCUGAGCUGGAUGUAACAUGCAGUAUAGCAUCCAGCUCAGAGUUACAUCCAGUAUCCAUAUCAGUUACAUCAAGCUCACAGUUACAUCCAGGAUCUGACUCAUAGUUUCAUCCAGCAUCCUGCUGCACUUCCUGUGCUUGCGAUGGGAGAAGAUGAAGAAUCCAGAAAGCAGUUGGUUGUUGUUACCUAAAAGUUCCCACCUUCUUCAUCCUGUAUUUGAUAGCCCUUAUGCUGGCACCAUCUGUAAGUAUUUACAUUUCUGUAUGUUUUUAUAUGCUUACAUGUUAUCAAGUAAUUUCCUACUUUUCGCCUCAUCAAAUAUUGCUAGCCAAACAGUCCUAACCGUUAGCGGUCAACCAUUAGCCAUUGCCAUAGAGAUGUAUUGUUUAGCCCAGCUGUUCACUAGCCCCAUUCAAAUGUGCAGUGCAUUCGGAAAGUAUUUAGACCCCUUGACUUUUUCCACAUUUUGUUACAUUUUGUUACAUUCUUAUUCUAAAAUUGAUUAAAUUGCUUUUUUUCCUUCAUCAAUCUACACACAAUACCCCAUAAUGACAAAGCAAAAACAGGUUUUUAGAUAAAAACUUU
ensembl:lncRNA